GACGAGCGCUGGCGGCGUGCUUAACACAUGCAAGUCGAAUGGAAAGGCCCUGCUUUUGUGGGGUGCUCGAGUGGCGAACGGGUGAGUAACACGUGAGUAACCUGCCCUUGACUUUGGGAUAACUUCAGGAAACUGGGGCUAAUACCGGAUAGGAGCUCCUGCUGCAUGGUGGGGGUUGGAAAGUUUCGGCGGUUGGGGAUGGACUCGCGGCUUAUCAGCUUGUUGGUGGGGUAGUGGCUUACCAAGGCUUUGACGGGUAGCCGGCCUGAGAGGGUGACCGGCCACAUUGGGACUGAGAUACGGCCCAGACUCCUACGGGAGGCAGCAGUGGGGAAUAUUGCACAAUGGGCGGAAGCCUGAUGCAGCAACGCCGCGUGCGGGAUGACGGCCUUCGGGUUGUAAACCGCUUUCGCCUGUGACGAAGCGUGAGUGACGGUAAUGGGUAAAGAAGCACCGGCUAACUACGUG
rnacentral:rRNA from 1 species